AACUUGCCUUGCCUUGAUCUUCUUUUCUACAUAAUGGGAGUGACAGGGAGUUGUUCUGAACAUAAAAGAGCAUAAAAUUAUAGAAGCAUCUUGAAAGAUGGGACAUGGUUCAGUAAAAGUAAACACUGUUAUACUUGUAGUCCAUCAAACCUUUCUUCCUCAAUUGUGACUGCAGACUUACUUGAUAUUGAGGUGAAUGCUGCCUGUGCCAUGCACUCCCCAAGUUAUAAACUAACAUGGGUCGUGUUUCCUAAACACUUCUCAGUGUCUUUAUUUUAUUUUUCCAUAAAUGCAAGGUCCGUGGUUCAAUUGCAUAAGCAAAGGAUUUUGAGUCAGAACUGCAUAUGUUUGAGACACAGAAUUGAAGCCCCCACGAUCCCCACCACCAGCAGUCUAGCCACAGCCUCCUGCUGCCACAAUCCAGCCUUCAGCCAGCACUCGAUAAACAGCUUGCUUGGGUAAGCUUCCAUAAAAGACAGCUGGAGGACAGCUAAUUUCUGCAUUGUCCAUUUGGCCCUUAGGAACUCAAGUAUCUUUUCCACUUCAAUAGUCUCCUCUUUCCACCAUAAUCUCAUUCUUAUUCUCUUUUCCUUUGCUCAGAUAGGCAAAGGCUAAGUUUACCAACAAAUAGCAUCCCUUCUUGUAGGAAAGCCCUCUUGGAAUUGUCUCUAAUGACCUUCCUACCCUCCAGGCUAUCCAGAGAAGAGAAACAGGCCCCACGUGGAAGAGGGGCAUUCCGUCUCACUUUGUAUUCAAGGCCAAUGUCUUCACCUCACCCUGCUUUUCUAGUGUAAGUCAUUCCAACCUCGCCUGCAAUUAGAAUUACCUGGAGAACUUAAACUUCAAUUGCUUAGAAUGGUACCCCAGACCAAUUAAAUAAUUAACUCUAGAGGAGGCAUCCAGGCAUCAGAUUCGCAAGCUCCCAGGUGAUUCUAAUGUGUAGCCAAAGUUGAGAAUCCCUGUGUAUAGAUUAAAAGUGGGAGUGAGAAUGAUUUUCAGAUCACCUGGUUUGGCCACCUCUUAAUAAGCCCUGGCAGGCGUUGCAGGUCUCUGCAGGUGUCGACCCUUCUUUGAAAGUGUGGCUACUUCUCUUCUGUUUCCAGCUGUGGUGCCUAGCAGAUCAUUCAGGGAAAAAUUCCCCUCAACAUCCUGUUGUGCACGAUGAAAUGACAUCCUCGAGUAUAGAAAGUGAAUUGAAGAAAGGGCUUGCUGCCUUCCUCAGCUGUGGCCCUUCGAGGGAGGUGCCCAGAACGUGAAACAGCGCCAAGUGUUUGUGCUGUGGACGAGUUAUACGAAAGGGUGCAGGCAGCUUGCUUUCUAUUCCUUCGUUUCCAGGACAAAUAAAAGCAGACACUGCAUGUGGUUAUUUUUUGUU
rnacentral:lncRNA from 1 species